GGGAGAUUCUGAAGCUUUGUGUUUCUUGCUAGCUAGUCAAAGGUGACUAAUUCAUGUGGAUAGAAAAAUAAUACAUGCCAAAAGAAAUUUGAGGAACAAAUUCAGCCCUGAGACAGGUCACGGAAACAGCCCUCCAGUCUUCCUCAAGAAAUGUAGACUGAAUCAGCAUUUACCCACCCCUGGAAAAACGCAGGAGCUGCGCAUUCCUGGGAUCUCAGCAGGGCUUUUGGGAAGAGCAGAACUGGGCUGGAGUCACGGUUUCUGGGCUGACUCUAGAUUUUCCCCGGCUUUUGCCACCUGUGAUGGCUGGAGAGUAUCUGAAGAUGACAGCCAGUGUCCUUAGCUUGUGAAGAUUGGAUGAUGGCCGGGGCCCUCAGACCCCUUGGCCCCUCCUUAACUGCAGGUCUUCAAAAGCCCAACACCUGUUCGUCAUUUCUGUGGCUUCCCAGGGAGUCUUACUCUUCUGCUUCAAGCUGCUGGGUUUGACUCUGAGCAGUUUCUGUGCAGCCACAAAGAUUCUUAUGUGAGACACACUGCUGCUUCAGAGUGCUCCAACCCAUCUCCCCUGAUUAAACACUAACCAGGGCUGCCACAGCAAAGUGGCUCAAAUGGGUGACGUCAACAACAGAUUUACUUUCUCAUAGUUCUGGAGGCAGGUGUCUAGGAUCAAGGUGGUGGCAAGGCUAUUCCUUCUGUUGCCUCCCUCCUUGCCUUGUGGAUGACCGUCUUCUCCGCGUCUUUCCAAGAUCUCUCCUCUGUGCAUGUCAGUGUCCUUGCUUCCUCUUCUUAUGAAGACACCGGUCAUGUUGGGAGAACACUGGGGGCCACGGGCUUUGGGCAUCUUAGAAGCCUCAAUAGAAGAAGCACGAUCUCAGCUCACUGCAGCCUCUGCCUUCUGGGUUCAAGUGAUUCUCCUGCCUCAGCCUCCCAAGUAACUGGGAACUAUAGAAUGCAACAGAAGAGAGUGCACGGCUUCUGAGGUUGCAGCUUUUGGGAGAAGCCAUCUACCAUUGAUGACAGACAUGCCGUGUGGAAACCAAACCAGCCAUGUGGAGAGGCUACCUGGACAGAGGCACAGGGCCAGCAGCAGCUGUGGAGACAGACAUGUGAGCAAAGAAAUCAUCUUUGAUGUACAGCCAAGUUGAGCCUUCAGAUGACUCCGAUUUCAGCCACCUUUGGACUGCAACCACAUGAAAGACUCUAAAUAGAAGCCUCCCAGCUGAUCCCGGUUAACCCACAGUGCUGAAGGGGAUAAUAAUAAAUUGUUGUUUUAAGCCACU
ensembl:lncRNA LINC01823 long intergenic non-protein coding RNA 1823